rnacentral:rRNA from 1 species
GGAUCGGAGUCUGCAACCCGACUCCGUGAAGCUGGAUUCGCUAGUAAUCGCGCAUCAGCCAUGGCGCGGUGAAUACGUUCCCGGGCCUUGUACACACCGCCCGUCAAGCCAUGGGAGCCGGGGGUGCUUGAAGUGCGUCGCCGCAAGGCGCGCCCUAGAGCAAAACCGGUGACUGGGGCUAAGUCGUAACAAGGUACC